UACGGAGGGUGCAAGCAUUGAUCGGAAUUACUGGGCGUAAAGGGCGCGUAGGCGGUCGAAAAAGUCGGAUGUGAAAUUCCGGGGCUCAACCCCGGAACUGCAUUUGAAACUUUUUGACUAGAGUACAGUUAGGGUAAACGGAAUUCCACGUGUAGCGGUGAAAUGCGUAGAUAUGUGGAAGAACACCGGUGGUGAAGACGGUUUACUGGGCUGUAACUGACGCUGAGGCGCGAAAGCUAGGGGAGCAAACAGG
rnacentral:rRNA from 1 species